rnacentral:rRNA from 1 species
GAUGAACGCUGGCGGCGUGCCUAAUACAUGCAAGUCGAGCGAACGGACGAGAAGCUUGCUUCUCUGAUGUUAGCGGCGGACGGGUGAGUAACACGUGGAUAACCUACCUAUAAGACUGGGAUAACUUCGGGAAACCGGAGCUAAUACCGGAUGAUAUUUUGAACCGCAUGGUUCAAAAGUGAAAGACGGUCUUGCUGUCACUUAUAGAUGGAUCCGCGCUGCAUUAGCUAGUUGGUAAGGUAACGGCUUACCAAGGCAACGAUGCAUAGCCGACCUGAGAUGGUGAUCGGCCACACUGGAACUGAGACACGGUCCAGACUCCUACGGGAGGCAGCAGUAGGGAAUCUUCCGCAAUGGGCGAAAGCCUGACGGAGCAACGCCGCGUGAGUGAUGAAGGUCUUCGGAUCGUAAAACUCUGUUAUUAGGGAAGAACAUAUGUGUAAGUAACUGUGCACAUCUUGACGGUACCUAAUCAGAAAGCCACGGCUAACUACGUG